CCAGUGUGCUAAGCUUCCAGUCUUUUACUUGAUCCUUUAUAACACAGUGAUGUUUGAGCUGUAGUCAGAUUCCAAAUCAAGUAUCAAGAAUUACAGAAUGUACUCUUCUGUUUUUUAAUACUCUUAGUUAUUGCUUGAACUUAAAAGCAAAUAUAUACAUAGAUAUGUGAUUAAACAAGUAUAGUAAAAAGUUAAUUGGAAGGUUUGGGUAGUAGACAUCUAAGUGCUCACUCUAGGCCAGGCAUGGUGGUUCACACCUGUAAUCCCAGCACUUUGAGGGUCCAAGGCGGGUGGGUUACUUGAGGCCAGAAGUUCAAGAUCAGCCUGGCCAGCAUGCUGAAACCCUGUCUCUACUAAAAAUACAAAAAAAAAAAAUUGGCUGGGCAUGGUGGCAGGCACCUGUAAUCCCGCUACCCGGGAGGCUGAGGCAGGAGAAUCACUUGAACCUGGGAGGCAGAGGUUGCUGUGAGCCGAGACCAUGCCACUGCACUCCAAUCUGGGUAACAGGGCAAGACUCUGUCUCAAAAAAAAAAAAAAAAAAAAAAAAAAGUGCUCACUGUAAAAUUCUUUAAAUUUUUCUUUAUUAAUAAAGUCCUUGAAAAAUAAAUCUAUAGGUUAGUCUUGAAUAUCAUUUAAAUGGCCAAAGAUCAGUCAUCUUUCCUUCUUUUUCCAAAGUACUUUUAUUAACUGUGAAGCACAAUACUCUGCUCCACAGAGGAUAAAAUGGGCGAAUAACAAAACUCUGCCUUCCCAGAAUUUACUCUCUUGGAAAAGAUGAUUCAUAAAUGCCUGAAAGAGUUCAAGGAGGCAAGACCAUAUGGGAUUCAUUGCCAAAAUAGAUAAUUGGUCUUAAAAAGCAUAUAUAGGGUUUCUUCAUUGUGGUCCAAAUCAUUUAAGAAAUUUCUUCAGCUGGUCUUGAAGAAUGGGUUGGAUUUGAAUGUGUGAAGGGAGAGCUGAAGCAUUCCAGGUAAGAGGAAAGGCAGGAGUCAAGAUCAGGAGGCAGGGAGGGACAAAGUGUGUUCAGCACAGCAGGAGACCUGACUGGAAAGAACAGAGUGGGUCUGGGAAUAACAGCAGGAAUACAGUAUUGCACGGUGCUUCAUUAUUUCACAGAGCACUAAAAAAGAAAAGAGCUCAGCCAAUUAAAUUAUGGUGUAUCAUCAAUUGUAGGAUAUUUCCUGAUUUCACAGAUACUAAAAAAUGAAAAUAAGAUGUGCCUCUCACAAAUCAAAGCUGUGUGGUAGGUUGGAGGGUGUUGUGAGUGCCUUGAAUGGUGGGGAGAGAAGCUGGCUGAAACUAUCAGGUUGGUGCAAAAGUAAUUGCAGUUUUUACCAUUACUUUUAAGGACAAAAACCACAAAAUAUACUUGAUCUUGGACGAGAGCCCUGGGUAAAUGAUACUUAUUAUCACUUACCUUGGAAUUUUCGCACUUGUACCUUGCAUAUAAUAAUCUCAGUAUAAUUUGUAUCCUUGUUGCUGAAAGGAUUCUAAGCAGCGUAAGUAUUUAUUUCAUGGAUGUUGAAAGGUAAACUUAAUAUUUUCUGUUGUGCAAAUUGAAGAUAAGGAGGCAGAAGUAGCUGCAGGCGUGAGCUGUGCGUUAGGUUGGCGUGUCUCUCACUGAUUUGAAGCCUUUGAAGUGGUUACUAGACUCUUAUCCAGAGUCAGACUGGCUGCAUCAGCAUCACCUAGGGGAAGGACCUUCUUCAACAUAUUGGCCCCUGGCCCCAUCCUGUCCCCAUUGAUUCAGCAUUUCCAAGGGUGGGGCCUGCACAUGGUAUAUUUCUAGAAAUGCGCUAGUUAAUUUUUGAGAACUUCUACCGUAAACCAUUGAUUAAUUUCAUUUUUUUACCUCAUUAAAUUAAGUCAUUCUGUAUCCUUCCCUUUCAUAAGUCUUUGAAUUUCUUAUUAAAUAUUCUAUUUUGUGCCUUAAUAAAGGAAAGGGGAUAGUUCAGAUGGUGAAAACAGUUUAUAAAAGUGGGAUGCAAAGUAGACUUCAGAAAUCUACCUACCACAAGAAGGUUGAUGAUUCUCAAAAGUCUUUUGUGAUAAACUGCUCAGGUGUCUCAGGAGACGUCUUUGUACUCCAUUUUAAAGUCAGUGAAUAGUGAGCAAUAUAAAUGGUACUUUGUUUUCUCUUGGUAGGCAAGGAGGGCACCAUGAGCUGGCAGAGCGCCUCGUGGAAAUACAGUAUGAGCUAACGGACAGACUAGCCUUCUAUCUCUGUGGCAGGAAACCAGAUCACAAAAAUGGACAGCACUUUAUAAUACCUCAAAUGGCAGACAGCAGCCUGGAUUUGUCUGAAUUGGCAAAAGCUGCUAAGAAGAAACUUCAAUCUCUAAGUAAUCAUUUGUUUGAAGAACUUGCCAUGGA
rnacentral:sRNA from 1 species